rnacentral:lncRNA from 1 species
GUAAAGGAGAGGUGCUAGAGAAAAGGUAACACCGGCCAAGAACCGCACUUGCAGCAGCUGUCGGAUGGAUUAGGCAGCACAGACAGCAGCAGGGUGUGUGAUCCCAGGGGACAGAAGCAUCUCUCAGCAAGCAGCCAUCUUCUGCAGACUCUGGGAUUUUUCAAGAGUGAGCACACUGGCUACAAAGGAGUCUUCCUACGUGAGGCCUUUGUCAAAGGAAGGGCUACAAAGUGACCAUUCAGCUCCUGGGGUUGAGAGCAAAGGGCCAUGCUAAGCAGGAAGGUGUUCACAAA